rnacentral:rRNA from 1 species
UCCAGACUCCUACGGGAGGCAGCAGUGGGGGAUAUUGCACAAUGGGGGGAACCCUGAUGCAGCGACGCCGCGUGGGUGAAGGAGCGUUUCGGCGCGUAAAGCCCUCUCGGCAGGGAAGAAGGAGGACGGUACCUGACUAAGAAGCCCCGGCUAACUACGUGCCAGCAGCCGCGGUAAUACGUAGGGGGCAAGCGUUAUCCGGAUUUACUGGGUGUAAAGGGGGCGCAGACGGCAGCGCAAGCCAGGAGUGAAAGCCCGGGGCCCAACCCCGGGACUGCUCUUGGAACUGCGCGGCUGGAGUGCAGGAGGGGCAGGCGGAAUUCCUGGUGUAGCGGUGAAAUGCGUAGAUAUCAGGAGGAACGCCGGUGGCGAAGGCGGCCUGCUGGACUGCGACUGACGUUGAGGCCCGAAAGCGUGGGGAGCAAACAGGAUUAGAUACCCUAGUA